CCUACGGGAGGCAGCAGUGGGGAAUUUUGGACAAUGGGGGCAACCCUGAUCCAGCCAUGCCGCGUGAGUGAAGAAGGCCUUCGGGUUGUAAAGCUCUUUCGGCCGGAACGAAAUCGCGCACGUGAAUAACGUGCGUGGAUGACGGUACCGGAGUAAGAAGCACCGGCUAACUACGUGCCAGCAGCCGCGGUAAUACGUAGGGUGCGAGCGUUAAUCGGAAUUACUGGGCGUAAAGCGUGCGCAGGCGGUUCGCUAAGUCAGACGUGAAAGCCCCGGGCUUAACCUGGGAACGGCGUUUGAAACUGGCGGGCUCGAGUACGGCAGAGGGGGGUGGAAUUCCACGUGUAGCAGUGAAAUGCGUAGAUAUGUGGAGGAACACCGAUGGCGAAGGCAGCCCCCUGGGCCGAUACUGACGCUCAUGCACGAAAGCGUGGGGAGCAAACAGGAUUAGAUACCCUGGUAGUCCACGACCCUAACCUAUNUCACUAGUUAGUCGGGAGGACACUCUUGUACGCAGCUACGACGUGUAGUAGACCGCCGUGGGUAGGUACGGUCGCGAGAGUUAAACUACUAAUAGUAGUUAGACGGUCGUUGAGACGUUGCCGACGGCGACGACGAGGGAGGAGG
rnacentral:rRNA from 1 species